rnacentral:rRNA from 1 species
GACGAACGCUGGCGGCGUGCUUAACACAUGCAAGUCGAACGGUAAGGCCCUGCUUUUGUGGGGUGCUCGAGUGGCGAACGGGUGAGUAACACGUGAGUAACCUGCCCUUGACUUUGGGAUAACUUCAGGAAACUGGGGCUAUACCGGAUAGGAGCUCCUGCUGCAUGGUGGGGGUUGGAAAGUUUCGGCGGUUGGGGAUGGACUCGCGGCUUAUCAGCUUGUUGGUGGGGUAGUGGCUUACCAAGGCUUUGACGGGUAGCCGGCCUGAGAGGGUGACCGGCCACAUUGGGACUGAGAUACGGCCCAGACUCCUACGGGAGGCAGCAGUGGGGAAUAUUGCACAAUGGGCGGAAGCCUGAUGCAGCAACGCCGCGUGCGGGAUGACGGCCUUCGGGUUGUAAACCGCUUUCGCCUGUGACGAAGCGUGAGUGACGGUAAUGGGUAAAGAAGCACCGGCUAACUACGUG